UACGUAGGUGGCAAGCGUUGUCCGGAUUUACUGGGCGUAAAGAGCGCGCAGGCGGUCGUUCAAGUCGCGUGUGAAAGCCCCCGGCUCAACUGGGGAGGGUCACGCGAUACUGAUCGACUGGAAGGCAGGAGAGGGUAGUGGAAUUCCCGGUGUAGUGGUGAAAUGCGUAGAUAUCGGGAGGAACACCAGUGGCGAAGGCGGGUCUCUGGGCCGGAACUGACGCUAAGGAGCGAAAGCGUGGGGAGCGAACAGG
rnacentral:rRNA from 1 species